UACGAAGGGGGCUAGCGUUGUUCGGAUUUACUGGGCGUAAAGCGCACGUAGGCGGAUCGUUAAGUCGGGGGUGAAAUCCUGGAGCUCAACUCCAGAACUGCCUUCAAUACUGGCGAUCUUGAGUCCGGAAGAGGUGAGUGGAACUCCUAGUGUAGAGGUGGAAUUCGUAGAUAUUAGGAAGAACACCAGUGGCGAAGGCGGCUCACUGGUCCGGUACUGACGCUGAGGUGCGAAAGCGUGGGGAGCAAACAGG
rnacentral:rRNA from 1 species